rnacentral:rRNA from 1 species
GCUGCGGCGUCCUAAUACAUCAAGCGAGCGAAUGAUUAAGAGCUUGCUCUUAUGAAGUUAGCGGCGGACGGGUGAGUAACACGUGGGUAACCUGCCCAUAAGACUGGGAUAACUCCGGGAAACCGGGGCUAAUACCGGAUAACAUUUUGAACUGCAUGGUUCGAAAUUGAAAGGCGGCUUCGGCUGUCACUUAUGGAUGGACCCGCGUCGCAUUAGCUAGUUGGUGAGGUAACGGCUCACCAAGGCAACGAUGCGUAGCCGACCUGAGAGGGUGAUCGGCCACACUGGGACUGAGACACGGCCCAGACUCUACGGGAGGCAGCAGUAGGGAAUCUUCCGCAAUGGACGAAAGUCUGACGGAGCAACGCCGCGUGAGUGAUGAAGGCUUUCGGGUCGUAAAACUCUGUUGUUAGGGAAGAACAAGUGCUACCUGA